UGGAUCUGAGUAAAAUUGUGAUCAAGGGCAAUAGAAUUAUCAUCAAAUAGUUUUAUCUAUACCUUAUUGGCCAAUAAUCAAGGAUUGGAUAAAAAUAUUGAUGUUACAGAAUGAAUCUAGUGCCAAAUUUAUAGUCACUAUGUGGUUGCACUUAAGAUAGGAUGCUCACUAGUGACAAACUGUCAAGUUGAGGCAUAGAUAUGAAAAGAAAGUGUGUCCUUUGUCAAGAAUAAGAUGAAAACAGAAAUAACCUAUUUACUGAAUGUACUUUCAUGAGGGAUGUAUAGUGAAGAUUAGAGAUCUAAAAUCAAUCUUAUAGGAUAAUGUCGUGGCAAUAACAUCUCAACUAGGUGUUGAGAAACACAAAAGAAAAGAGAUACGACAGGAAGGAUCUUCAAAACGGUCUAUGUUGAGACAAUUCAUGAGGUAUGGGAAGAGACAGACUUGUGCAUCUUUCAGAAGAAGACUAAAAGAGUUAAAGCUAUUGCUAGACGCAUAGCAUACACUUACAAUGUACGAUCAAAUAUAAAAGAUAAGAUCAUAUCUUAGAAAUUAUAGAUUCUAAAAUAAUGUAUCCAAUUUCUAACUUAAGGCAGGUUGUUAGAAGAAGGAGUACACAUGAGUGGCCCUCCCUAGGAUGUAUGAUCCUAUUGUAGAUUAAGCGAGAAAACUCGUGAAUGAAUUUUAUAUUGAAUAGCUGGUUAUGAGGAUUAGGAUCAUAAAGAAUAGUGUAAUUUUUGUGAUGAUGAGACAACAAGUUGUGAUGGCUUUGUUGUAGUAUUGUAAAGUUUCUACUUGAUGAUUAAUAAAAUCUCUUAGUUACCCA
rnacentral:lncRNA from 1 species